GGCUGGUACCAAGAUGAUUCCUCAAGGGCUCAGUUCUGCCACUCCAAAACAUAUUUUCUGAGGUAGCCCUUUUGACUGAGAGCCUCGAUCUCAUCUUUCAGUUGGAGGUACUCCUCGGUGUUAUGACCAUGGUCACAAUGGAAGUGGCAGUACUUUUGCUUAUCCCUCCUUACUGAUAGAAUCUUCAUCGAUGGACGUCGGUGGAGGUAGUCUUGAUCUUCGAUCUCCAUAAAGAUUUGAGCACGAGGGAUGGUCAACGAAGCAUAGUUAUUAUAGCACCGAGAUGAGCUCCUUGGCCAAGGGGCAUUUAAUGGUCAGGAGGAUCUGGCUUUAGGUUGGUUCAGGUGUGUGUCCUCCUGUGCAUGCUUCCUUUUGUUGGGGGCUCAGUGUCCCUCUACCAAUGCAUGACUCAACCUUCCUCAGCCUGCAUGUACUUGCAUGCACAGGCCAAGAGAUUGGCAUAAUCCCUCGAGAACGUCUUAUCGAGGGAGUAUAUAAGGCACUCCUUGCAGAAACCUCACUUCAGAGCCGACAUGGCAAUGGCCUCAUCCAGGUUGAGGACUUCCAAUGUGGCUGCAUUAAAAUACACCACAUAGUUCCAUCAAGAUUUAUCCUCUUUCUGAUGGAUAGAGAAGAGGCUAUCCAUGGUCC
rnacentral:lncRNA from 1 species